rnacentral:sRNA from 1 species
UGAAGACAAUAUACCUAGAAGACAAGGUAUAUAAGGCAAAGGGGGGAGUUUUACCUUGCGCGCGUUGCACUUUCAGUUCCGUUUUGGCUGUUGUCCAUACCCUCUUUCUCAUCCCAUUCAUGUAGCACGUGUGUAGUAGCCGUGUAGAGCUGCCAAGUAACAUGUAAUAAACUGAGCAAAAUGUAAACAUUAUAGAAAUUCAGAAAUUCCAAUUUUUUUGAACCGAUCGGGUGGGGUGCUGCGCGUCGUUGCAAAGUACAAGUUAUCCGCCCUGAUGUUGCGUCUCUUUAUGGAUUGAACAAAAUAGAUCAUCGAACAGCUAGCGGAACUAUAUGACAAAACUUAUCUCCUUUCAUAUUCAGUGGGUUUAGUGGAAUAGGAUUAUUUGUUGAACCAUUCCUUGGCGUCUGACAGAUAUAGGACCCUAUUGAUGGCCACUUUACGUUUGUUGAUGAGUAUAUGUAUAAAGCUCCUAGCAUAUGAGUCCAAUUCAUUUAUCUCUGAUACUUAUGAUAAUAGUGAUUAUUUCUUAAGUCCCUAUCAUAUCAGGCUUGGCCAAUAUGAUGGCCAUUUUUGAAUGUUUUGUACAGUCUCAUUUACUAAAUGCGUUCCGAUAAUUGCCAUUUCGAGUGCCACAUGAUGUUCCCGAUGUACUUAGAAGACAUAUCGAGAUGAUAUCAAAUCAAUAACAUCUGCAUUAUCAAUUGUUGUAAUUGUGUAAAAACCUAAAAUACUCGUAAGCAUGAUAGUAGAAUCCCAACCAAUCGUAGACUAUAUUCCGCUUCCAGGGUUUUUUUUUUGCAUAUUAGCUCAAAAAUUGUAUGCAUAAUCUGCGUUUUUUUUUCAUAAAAACUAGAACUCUGACUUGGAGGGCUGAAAAUUUCUAAAUUCGAUCAGCUGAAACACUUAAACACACUUAAUUUUGCUUGUAUUUAAUUUAAAAAAAACGGUCAA